UUAAGUUCAGCGGGUAUCCCUACCUGAUCCGAGGUCAACCAUAAGAUAAAAUUUGGGUUGUUGUCCGGCAGGCACGUCCGGGUCCAUCUGGGCGAUAGUAUGUUACUGCGCUCGAGGACCGGCCGCACCGCCGCUAUCUUUCGGACCCGCCCCCCCCUAUGAAAAGGGGACGAAAGAUCCAAUACCAAGCAAAGCUUGAG
rnacentral:misc_RNA from 1 species